UUAAAUAAAGUUCUUGUCUUUGCCUUGAUAUCUAAUCAAGUCAAUUUAGUUUAUGAAGGAAAGAUGAUUCUCUGGACAUGAAAAAUUUUUACCAGCCAUGAAGUUUAACAAAGAGAAUAGAAAAAAGAGGAAGAAUAUCAGCGAUUGAUAAAGUUAACAUACUUGCAAAAUAACUUCAAUAUCUAGUACUCAACAAUAUCUAACAGAACUACUGCCAGAAAACAAAAAGAAAAAAUUUGGUCUCAUUUCAUCUCUCCAGAUUGUGAUGGGCAUAUACGGUGCACGACGCUCCCACAAUGUGAGGUGUGGGGAGGGUCUCUGUUUUCCAGUUUGUAAAGGAACAACUUUAUUGUAUCAAAGCCCACCCUCUACAUAUACUUAAUUUCCGAAUUCCUUUUAUCUUUAUCUUCUGCCAAGUCCUUGUGGAAUAUUUUAGUUGGCCAACCACUAGUUAAAAUGAACUACUAUAUGCCAUCAGAAUUGAUAGAUGUAUUAGUUCAUCUUUUUCAUGGAAAGCAUAUUUAUUUAGAUUCACAAAUUCAAGUGGAUAAAUCUAAGAGAAUACCUGUCAAAAAAUCAAGAGUAGCUAGUAAACAGAAGAUAUAGAUGUAUAAUUUGUAAAAGUUGCCAAGAAAAGAAUAAUUAUGUUCUAACACAAAAACAAGGUGUGUGAUAGAAAACAUUAAAUCUAAUAUAUUUGUUGUCUGAAAGUGUCCAAGUCUUCAAGGUAUUAUGUUGGUUUCUAUUUUUGGCAAAUGCAUUUCUGUUGCAUUCUGGAAUUGUUGUGGCAUGCAAGGAUUAUACCAUAAAAAAAUAAAGAGACUCGUACACUUGACUAAAAGCCAAAGAAAAUUCUAGGCUGAUUGUUUGACUGAGGUUUUACCAAAGCAAGGGCCUUCGUUCAAAAUAGAUAAACUAUAUAAUCAAGUGCAAGAAACUGGAUAAGCUUUUAUGACAAAGUGUUAAACUAAAAUUGUGUGUACCAAAAUUCUUGGAACAUGAAUUACAUGCAAUAAACCUAAAAUACUAUCUACUAAUCAAAACUUAAUUUCAAUGUUUAGAAAAGAAGUAGGUGAGAAUAAUAAUCUCAAAUCAAGCUUUGACUGGCUUGAUCAACCUUUCCUCAAAAAGAAAAUAUUUACUCAAGCAUACAAUAAACUGAGAAAGCCAUACAUACUUGUGCAAUAUUAUAAGUAAAAGCACUCAACAAUGUAGUAGCAAGAUCUUCAGGUUUGUAAUCUGAAAGUGUCCUUUUUGAUGUUAUCACCUUCCCAAAGCUUGAAGCAAGGGUUGAUGCAGAAAGACCUUGCUGGGGCAAUUUGGUUAGACAUAACCCAGUUAGAUAAGUACAAAAAAGACGAUGUUGGACCACCAUAAGUAUUAUAAAUUGCCACUUGUCAUAUAUAUAUAUAUAUAUAUAUAUAUAUAUAUAUAUAUAUAUAUAUAUAUAUAUAUAAUAUUUUGAGCCAGUGAUUCACCAGAUAAUUUAUGAAACUAAGCAUCUAUUCAUGACAUCCAAUACGUUACUAGAUAGCAUAACUAUCUUGAGCAUCCAUGACAUAAUAAAUAACAUGUCUUCCUCCUUUAUAGAAUUAGGUUAUAUCUUUUAUCUGCAACUUUAUAUCUGUUCAGAGCUGUCCCAGCAGAAAAACAGUAGUUAGUUGGGAACUAGCAUAAAAGUUUGUCAAAACAAACAUAAAAAAUAGACCAUUAUCAAAUACAAUGGAGCAAGAUCAUCAUUAUGAAGUAACAUGUUGCAUCAAUAAUACAUUUCAAAACACACUAAAUGUGACCCACAACAUUAGUGAACAAAUUCAGUGACAACUAAGAUUUUAGCAUGAGGAUUGCCAUCAGAGAGGUUAGUCCAAGAUCAUAAAUUUAAAAUAGAAACAUAAAAUAUAAAAUCAGUAAAAAAUUCAAGAUAUGACUGAACUGAAUCAUAAUAAAUGUCAAAAUAAAUCACAUGUUUCAAAAAGAAGCUGAAUGCCCAUUUAUUAGAUUUCUCGGGCUCUUAAGCCAACUUAACUCUUUCAGAAGGAAACAAAAUCAAACAAAGUUUGCAUAGUCUACACCUACCUAAGACAGACUCCUAUUUCUAUGGUGAAAAGUUCUACAUUCUUUAAUAUCACUGUCAAAACUUAACAAGAGUAUCAUCAAAAUCAACCCCUAAAAUCAUUAGAAAUAAAAAAAAAAUUCAAAGUCAGAUCUAGCUCAAAUGAACUCAACUUAGAUCCAACUAGACAGUAAACGAACCUAAUAUAGAUGUAAUCGAUUUGCAUAAUUCACUAUCUUGUCCUUAAGAUAUUCACAUGUCUAAGUCCAUGAUCAACACAAGGAGCUCCAGCAAUCAAUAAUGCAUUGUGGUGCAUGCACUAUGAUCUGUUGAAUUGAACAACUAAUUUUCAUCUGCAACCAACACAACAAACCUUAUAAAAUUUGAUCUCUGUGACCUUGAGAUAUGCAUUCAUCUAUGAUAGAUAAAUUCGGUUUAGAAAGGCAAACUAUAAGAAUUUGGUCCCUUAACCAGAAGCAGCUUACAUUGUAACAUCUUGACUAGUAAUUGAACAAUUUGAUUCCGAAUCUUAGAAUUCAAUUCAUCAAUUUAAUCAUGUGGUAGACCUCUUGUUUCCCUCUUGCUGUCGGAUGACUUCUAGCACUUCAUAUCAUCCUCAAUGGGAUGACCUACAUGACGAACACAAUAUAUUGAUCAGUAUUAAAAUGUGAAUAUUCUAUGUUCAUAGAAUGAAAUGGAGAGUCUCUAGAUAUUUGAGUGUCCUAUCUUCAAUUAAUGAUACAGAGAUAUGGUUCAAGUCUCUCCACAUCAGGGAUUGUCUUAAUAUUAAGAAUCUCUAGAAUGUUGUCUCAUGACCACUUCAUACAUGUUUCGAUGCUUUCAAGAUUCCACAAAUUCUUCUUACAAGCUCGAAAUCAAUGUUGGCAUCAUCCCCGAGACCCUCAUGGUCACCAUCCAUGGCCAUCACAUAUGUCCACCUAUCCAUGGCCGCCACAAAGGACUAAUAUUUGGUAAUUGUCCAGCAUUGAAAUUUUGAACCAUGACUAAAAAAAGUUCUAUUACAUAAAAGUGAGUCAGUUCAGGCAAACUGAAAUAAGAAUCUUCAUAGGAAACAAUUAUCUCCAUGUGCCAUAUGUUGAUAGAAUAUUUGAAGCUUUAGAAGCAGAAUGAAAGCUAAUGGACAAAAAUUUGUUUGUCUUUCGGAGCUACAAUCCACCUGCUUGCUUUCCUAUCUUCUCUGAACCAUACUACACUAGCAUUUCUACUUCUGGUAAAGUUUUUCUUUUCCAUUCUGGGCUAAAAAGAAGAGAAUGGUGAGACCAUAUGUUUGAUCAAUCACUGGAGCAUGUAUUUCUGAUGCAGUUUCUUUGGAUCUACAAUGGAGAAAUGAGGAAAGAGCCUAUGAAUUAGAGGAAGAGAAGAGAAAAAAAAAACAAGAAAGAUAGGGAUGGACAAGAGAGAGAUGCCCAAUCAAAAGAAGGGCUCAAUGAUGAAGAAAACUUAAACAUCAUAUAUGGUCUCAGUGCCAUUCACUCAACACAAGAGAAGUUAAAUGACAUUUAUAACAAAUGAUUCCUUCAGCUUUAAGUUAACUAAAAUUAUUCAAAAUGCAAGUAUAUAAUUAGAUAGAGUUUUUACUUAAUUUAACUUGUCUAAGACAGACUCACUUACAAUAAAGACCCACUAGAUCUUAUACUUUAGAAGGAUAAAAUAUCAAAAAAAUCACACCAAAUAUUACCAAUAAUAAGGUUUCAAAUAUUGGUUGAUAUGUAUUGUAGCAACCAGUGUUUACUAGUCUGAGCAAGGAUCAUGUACCGACUGGUAUUUACUAGUCCAAGCAAGGAUCAACAUCAGACCAUAUGGUCUGGUACUGAUCAGUAUUUAAAUUUUUAAUAUUUUCUUCAGCUAAUAAUAGGUGGUAUGAACUAUGAAGUACACGAGUAUUAUGUCAGUCUAGUAGAUCACCAAAUCCAGUAUCGAACUAAGAUUUAAAACCUUCUGAACUUAUAAAGAUUACAAUCAAACUCUGAUCUAACUCAAACAAACCUAACAUAAGACUAUAAUAUAGCCCAACUUCCUAGCAUAGAUGAAACUUGGAAGAAGCUGACAUUAGUAUAGUGUGAAGAUUGAUGACUAAAGACUUUAAAAAUUGGCUAAAGUUCUUGGGGAAAAUAAGUGUAAUGAAGCAUCUUGAAAGUGUAAAAGUUAACGAGUGAUAAAAUCCAAAUGUAAUUGAAGAUAAAGAAAAUGUUAAACAUCAACUUAUUAAGUGCUAAAACUAAGAUCAAGGAGGUGCAAUAAUUAUGAGAUAAGAUGCAACUAGCAAGGACCUAGCUUUUGAUGUUAUCCAUACAAAAGUUUACAAGAUUGAAAAUCAAUUUGCUUAAGUAGUUACAAUCAAAAUUUAAACAACUACAAAGGAUGCCACCUUACAAUUGAAGGUGUAGCAUUUGGGUAUACUGUAAGAACAAAGGAUACAUAGAACUUCACAACUCAUCAAGCAAUUAAGUUGGGCAAUCAUAUAUAACUUUGGUUGAGAGUGAAUGAACCAAGAUUAAACGAUAAUUAUUCCAAAAUUAAUUUUGUGUUGUUAAUUUAGAUAGAAGAGAAGUAAAAAAUCUUAAACUAUUUUAACAAACAUGGAAAAUUUUAAUAUAGUUAUUAAAGAAAUAAUGAGAGAAAUUUUAAUCUAGAGAGGAAUAAAACAUCCUUGUAAUCGUAACAUGAAUUAACAAGUUUUUGCUAUUGUAAAAACAAGAAAAGGUGACAAUGAGUAAAAUUUCUAUUAUUACAGGGUUGUAUCAAGAGCAAACCUCAAGUCCCUUACCUUCUUAUCCAUGGUGAAUAAAACUUAUUAGAAUUGUUUAUGAUGAAGUCCCAUAGUGCACAGUUUCAUUAAAGAAAAUUUUAUAAUCACCAAUACUAGAAGAACCUCUAAAUUACUCUGGUAGACAACGGAUUUAAUUAAUGACCAAGAUGGAUUUAAGUUUAACUUAUAUCACAGAAAGAGAGCACAUCUAAAAUAUGCAGUCAAGUAAAUUCAGAAAAAAAAAAAAAGAAGAAGCUUGAUACUAGGAACUAUAGUUUGAGAUUGAGGAACUAAUUUUCAUAUGCAAAGAUUGAAGAAAAAAAUACUUCUCUAAAUUAAGAUAUUUAAAAUGUUAAAGUACAAUGUAGAAUACACCUUAGAUUAAAAUGAAAGUUUCACUAAUCAGUUAUAUAACAAUCUAUUCUUUUUGGUAAGAGUUGAUAGUGGAAGGGAUAAUUUAUGAUAGAUGAGGAUGUUGAGAUAACUCUCUGGAACAAGAAACAUUGACCAAAACAUCUAUUAAGGGUCCACAAAUGCACUGAUAGGACAAGGACAGUGAUAUCAGAGAUAAUAGGAGGGGUAGAAGAAGAUCAAAUGGAUAAUUAGUAAAGAAUACGAUGACAAUUGGAUUGUCCAGUUUCAUGGACCUCAAUAGAUAUUAAAAGAAAGAAAGAGUCCAUAUAAUCAAUCCAAGAUAUUAGGGAACAACAAAUUGUGUAUAACUGAUCCAAGAUGUUUGGGAACAGUUAAGCAACUAUAUAUGAAGGUCAUGGUCCAUUUGUUGGACUUAACAAGAUUAUAAACUAUUUCUCAUGUUACUAGAUUGUUCUAAGCAAGGUAUGCAAUUUCGUAUCGUACCGGAGUUUUGACGUUCACUCGGUACGGUACGAAACUGUAUACCGAGCGAUAUACCGCUCGGUAUAUAUAUAUAUAUAUAUAUUUCAUUCCGUCUGGUAACGGGCGGUCCGUGUACCGAUAAGCUGACGGACCGGUACAUACCGCCUGUACCGGACGGUAUUAUUCGAAAUUGCAUACCUUGGUUCUAAGUUCACAACAAACAAUGACAUGCUAAACGAGAAUAAAACACAAGGUCUAAAAUCAUGAUCUAAACCCCAUCUCCCAACACUACUGUGAGUUGGUAUCACCCAGACCAAGAGAAAAAGGGAGAGAGAAGGGGAGGAGGAGAGAAAAGGAGGAAGGAAGAGGAUUGAUAAAAGGCAAGGAUGAGCCGAGGAGGAGGAGGAGGAGGUGGAAGGGGAGGAGAAGCAGAGAAUGAAGGAGAGGCAAAGUUGAAAGAGGAAAAGGUAGAGGAGGAGAAGCGGAGAGAUAGGAAGAAAUCACAGAGGAGGUAUUGAGGAGACAGGAGGUAAGGAGGAGGAAACCGAGGAGCACUAGAAGCGGAGGAGGAAGCAACAAUGCAGUGGGGUAUUGGCAAUGACAUGGUGGGGUGGGUACUGUAGAUCCAUGAAAGAGACUGAGAAAGAAUGAAAGAGAGAGAGAGGAGCAUAAGAAGAUAGAAAAUUAAAAUAAAAAGAAUAAAUUUCAAGGAAAAAUUAAAAAUAAUAGGGGUAUCAAACAGUGGACCUACUGUUUGGUGCCUCCAGUUUCAACCAUUAAAAUUGAUGAUAUGCCUGGUACAGCAAGCAUACUGGCCAUCAUACUUUAACUAGCAAACUUUAUUAUAUAAUCUCAUACCUGUUCACUAACUAAAUCUCCACAGAUAUCCUUCACAAUUAAGUCAAGUACUAGAUUAUCCCCUUGCUGACUCAGCUUCAAGAAUUCAUCAUAACUGUACACAUUCAGGUUACAUGAUUCAAAACCAAAUCAAAACCUUUGAAUAAAAGCAUAUGAUGGAAGCAAAAUUACCUCAAGCAACCUGUUAAAAGUUUUGCUAAACCAAACAUUGUGCCACCACCAAUAUGUGUUCCGGUUACCCGUUCAAACUUCCUGUUUCCUGUAACCUGCAUACCAUUAUAUGCAAACACCUUAUUGGAUUUAUGCAAUUAGCAAAUGGUUGGUUGAAGUAUCACAAAAUAGUACCAUAUGCAAGUUACCUUUAUGAGACCGACACCUGAACCAAUAUUGACAAGGAGGUAGGGAAAUAAGUUGUUUCUGUCAAUUUCUACAGGUUGCCUUUUCCCAUCCAUGUGUGUAAAAGAUUCUCCAGGGAUUUCCUGCCCAUAAAUAACAGUUAAUGAUUUAAUCUAAAGAAGCUAUCAAAACUCCUGAAGAAUUGUUCCAAUAUCAUACAUGUAGAAACAUUUAUGCUUAUUUGACUGAUACAGUACCAGCAAAGUAGUAGAAAAACAUUACUUUAGCAAAAAAAUUCUGAUCUAUAAAGUUAUGAUUAGAGCAGUAUAACAAAUACAUUAGUUGUUUAAGCAGAGUUAUUCAGCUUUAAAUUUGCUUACCUGAGUUCUGACAUUCCACUCACCAUGUUUAACAGUACAACAUGAUAUGCAAUGAGAAGACCUGCAGUCUCUAAGUGUUAUCAUCAAUGCUAAAAGUAUAACACUAAUACAAAAACACAUCAAUUUCACAAAGAAAGAAGACGCAACUCAUUUAAUGGGAUAAUCAACCUGAUCAAUCAUUAGUAAAAGAAUUGACUACUAUAUUGUAAUGCAAAUCAGUAACACAAGAAUCAUAUGAGAGUUUCAGCAGUAGACCUUCAACAAAAAGUUGGCUCCGGCUACAACACUAUCAAUUUCAUCCAGCUUAUCAAGACUGACACCUAGAAUCUCCUUGAAUCUGCCAGUAAAUUUAAAUGCUCCACCACCUGUAGCCUAAUCAAGCAUUGAGAACACAUUAAUAGAAAACCAGGUCCAAUCACUCAGCUACAAUUUUUUUAAAAGGAGAACAGUAUGCAAUAUUCUAGUAUAAGAGAGGCAUUUAAGCAUUUAAAAUCUAUGUCGAACAAUUACCAUUAUUAACAUGUCUAGGUGUCCCAAUUUUAAAGUUGAGAUGAGAGCUUUUUACUAGAUUGCUUGAUAAGAGACUCGAUAAUGGUGGAAAAUAAAAAAACAUAGAUCAUGUCAACUUUUAUUCUCUCUACUUUCUUUAUUCAAGAGCAUGUCAAUUGAGAACACCAGUGUAUCUUAUCAAAAUUUAUAUGAAAAUUAAUUGAGUGCCAUUGUUGUGAGUCCGACUUAUACAGAUUAUUCCUACAUGCAUAAGGUCCUAAAGAAACAAAGGAAAAGAGCUAGUUAGUCAGUGACAAUUGUGAUAAUUGAAAGUUUAGCAUUGUCAAUAUGGGCAGGGGUGAAACAUUAUAAAUGUUAUUUUAUGUGUUCGUAAAGUUUCUCUUAUACAAAUGAAAGUUUAGUUCUGUUCAAUCUGGCAUAUGUCUGUUUCUGAACAAAAUGUCAUAAUUUUCAUUCUUUGUUAUGGUCUACGUUUGCUGUAUCACCCAAAACGGUACGUACCAAUCCGGGCAUAGGCUGAUAUGUGGACCUCCUGUUUCGGGCAAUCUAGUUAAAAUAAUAAAAAAAUUCAAAAAAUUGGUGGGGCCCUAUCCAAAGCAGCCUUAAAAAAUAAAAAGAAAAGGAUUAGGGCUUGCAUUCACGAACCCUCUUCUUGCAUAAGAUGUUGCCACCUUGCCAUCACCGCUUCACCACUACUACUUCGACGCUUCCUCGCUGCUGCUGCUGCCACUUUGACACUACCGUUGUCUUGCCGCUGCCACUUCACUCUGCUCUUUUCCUUCUCUUCUUUCUUCUACUUCCUUCCUCCCUCCUUCCUCCUCUAUUCCUCCACCGCCCCUUCCCCUUCUCCCCCUUUUUCUUCUUCACCAAGCCACCGAUACACACCAGCAUACCAUGUGUCAAUAUACCGGUAUAGACUGAUACUCACCGGUCCAAAAAAUAGCCGAAACGGGUUUGGUACCCAAAAAGGCAAUCCUUGGUUAUGGUUGUCUUUCUAAGUAGAUUCUCUGUGUAAACUAUUUUUAUGCAUUCUCUUUGCUACUAUGUGUUGCCUUAAUUGUCAAAGUUUUGAGCGUAACUUGCUGAUGGAUAAUGUACACUUCAAAUACAUUGAUCUAAUGGUAGUGGAGCUAGAUCCACUUAACAAAACUUGAAGGUUUGGAACCUUACCUGAAAAUUUGAAGAUGUCAGUUAGACUUUUAUUGUUUCAUAACAAGGUCUAUUGAGUCUUAUCAUAUUCUCACCACUUAUCAUUUGUGAAAAAAAUGAUGGAUAAUGUGUCCAGAAAACAAGACACUAAGGAAAAUAAACAAAACCAUGUAAGGAUAUAAACAACUACCUGUUUUUUUUAAGUUGAAUUUAUGCAACAAUUUCAGCAAUAUAUGGCUUUGGAGUGAACAUAUCAUACUACACUUAGCAUAUGGUGCAUGAAUCAUAAUAAUCUACAUCUAUUUAUCGUUGAAUACAUGAAAUAUAUAUAUAUAUAUAUAUAUAUAUAUAUAUAUAUAUAUAUAUAUAUAUAUUAUUCAUGAUACUUCUCUUUACUUGUUUCUUCAUACAUAUCACAUAAUUUGUGUCAUGUGAACACUAAAGGUUAACGAACUUUCUCCAAACUAUUUAGAAGAACAGUCACUACCAGGUAUGUUUUUACCGCCCAAUACAUACUCGUUACUGGGCUUGUACUAGGUGAUAAGUGUUGUUUAUAGGAUUUACCUGGAGGUGAACCAUGUACCAGACCAGAACCGCCCAUCUGGUUAGGAUUGGUCCAUGUCCUAGCAACUGAACGAACUGAUAAAUCAACAGCAGUCCGCGUGGUUUUGCAAUCUAUAGUCAUGCAUCUCAAUUACAAGGAUCAAAGUAUGCUAGACUUUCUUUUGAAAAAAAUUUAUUAUUGAGACAUUUGCUGCUUUUGAAAAUAUUUUCUUAUUUCCUUAGUCUUCAUUAUCUAAAAGCCAACAACUAAGAAAUAACUUGCUUUAUGUGUUAGGUUUGUUUCCUUACACCAGGGUUUGCUGUACCGACACAUAUCGCCUAGUACGGGUGGUAUAUAAUGGUCCAACAUGGAACCGGUACGCGAACCACCGUAUACUAGGCAAUACCAUUACAUAACCCCAUAUCAUCCGAUACACAGUCUGUACUAGUCAAUAACGGUCAAAAUCUGACCAUUACCGACCAAGGGCUGAGAUUGCCCUAUUUCAAAUAGUCAAAUUGACCGUUUGAACAAUUGAAAAAGGUUUUUAAACCCUUUCCUCCCCCCUCUUUCAACCCAUUUCACUCUCUCAAUCUCUUCAACUCUCUCAAUCUCUUAAACUCUCUCAAACUCUUUCUCACUUACAUCUCUUUCUCAUUCUCAUAUUUUCACUCUCCUAAGCUCAACAAAACUAUGAUUUAUGGAUUAGAUCAAAUUUGAGAGGCUAAUUUGGGAGGAUUAAAAGGAAGAAUACUCUAAUCAAGAGAUAUGUAUUCUCUUUCUAGAUUUUUAUUGAUUUAUGAGAUGAUUAAGCCUAUUCUAUGUUGUUAAUGACUUAAUGUCUAAUAUGUUGUUUGAUAUGAUUUUAGUGAUAGAAUAGUAUUAAUUAAAGAGUAAUUAAGGACUUAAUGUUGUGAUUAGUGUGUUUAAUGCUUAUUUUUUUGAAAUUAGACACUUAAUGAGUCAAAUCUUUGUAUUUCAUGCAUAUUAAGGUGAUUUAUAUGUUUGUGAUGAUCUAAUAGGUGUAAUUAGAUUUUAAUUAAGAUUUUUAAUACUGUGAUUAGUGGUUUUAAUGAUGAUUUAAUCAAAUUUUGAUCAAUAUUGGGUCAAUUCAAUAUUUUUAAUACCUAUUAGGAUGUUUGACAUGUUUAUAGUGAUGAAAGAGGUCUAAUUAUGUUAAUGCUGCGAUUAGUGUCUUUAAUUAUGAUGAUAUCGAAAUUUGACCCAUAUUGGGUCAAUUAAAUGUUGGUACACCUCGAUACGUACCGUACCGACACAUGGUCGAUACAUUGGUACAGACCAGUUCCGCAAUCCUUACCUUACACUACAAAUAACAACAUUAUCUAGACAUGUGGUUGAUAAUAUAAUCCUUACAUUACCUUUAAAUAUAUUAAGCUUAUCUAAGACUAGUAAGAGAAUAAGUAAAAAAUAUUUAACAUUCAUAUGCAGGAGUUUUUGAAUAAUUUCUGAGACAAAAGUAAGUUUAACUAGAAGAGGAUAACAUGGUACAUGAGUUAUCCACCAAUGUGAUGUUGGGGAAAGUCAGUGUAGGCCCCUACAAGAAGCAAUGUUUCUGUGAAUCCAAACCUUGGCCAACCAGAUUGUAAAAGAACAACCUUACAGUUACAGAAAUGCUCACCCUCACAAAAGUAAGUUUGACAACUAAUUUCUUGUACAAUCUUGGUAUCAACAUCCUAACAGUAUCUAUCCUGCAUAAAAGUACUCAGCACUAAAAUAGACUAACAUCCUAUGAUAGAUUAUAAUUAACAAUUACUCUUGUUAAAGGAAUUGUCAAAUCUAGAUCACAUUUCUCGAGAUAAAAUUCCUUACCAAUUUUUUCAAAUCCCACCAAACACUAGUUCGAUCACACAACCGGUUCUACAAGAAAAUUUAUGUUCCAAAAAGCAAAAUAAAUUUUUACAAGGAAUUGAAAUAAUUUAGUAAUUGGUUUUUCAUGUAACAUAACAAAUUUCUAUAUGGAAAUUUUGAAAGGGAAAAUUUAUUUGCUUUCUGUAACACAUAAAACAAUAACCUCAUCUGAAACAUCCUGCUCCAUCAUGAUUCAUGCAAGGAGAUUGUAAAUCAUGUAUGGAGAAUAACAAUCACAGAAAUACAAAAAGGAGACAAAAAAGUGUGUAACCUUUAUUGUUGCAUGUCCAUUUGAUGGUUCCGCAGAAAAACCUGCCAAAAUGAGUUAAGACUUAAUAGUAUUCAGCAAACUGUAUCACAAACUAAUGAGUGAUGACAUAUGAAAAUUUCAAUAAAAACACUAAGCAGAACACACAUAUUCUGGUUCCAUUAACUGUAAAACUUAUGAUAUAAACCGAAAAAAAGAAGCCUGUGAUACUUGGAGAAGAACAUGGGAAUACAUGUCUCACACAACUUGCUUGGGUCCUUACCAAGUUUAUAUGGCUUCAUGAAAGCAUCCCUGAAAGGGGAUAUCUGACAAUAUGUGCUGGUGAGCUAAGGUGAAGAUGUACAUAAAAAAAAAUGACUUAUGAGCAUGACCUUUUGUCUGCUGAACUAUCAGGACAGGAUAUGUUUGACUGCAUGAAAAUAACAGGUUAAGAAGUACAAACACUGAGGAUUUCCAACUCAAGACUACCAAAUAUACUAGCAUUUAAUUCUUUAAUUCUCUCUAGAGCUAGGUUACAUUUAAAUUAUUUAAUAGAAAAUCAAUGAAUUAACAAAGAAUCCUCCCUCUAGUUCGAUGAUUCCUCCAGAUCCUGCAUUUUAAUGAUACCAUUUAUAAUUCAGUAUCUUAUUCCAUUAUGAAGUUGAUAUGCCCAUUGGUCAUUACUACACCUCCAGCAAUUUGUUGAUUUCCUCAAUGAUGUAGCAUGGAUCAUGCGUUUUCCAGUCCUUCAUUAUAUCUAUGUUGCAGCUUUGCAAGUCUCUUCAUUUUUACUAGAAUCCACUUGGUUCACUAUCAUCAUGCAUAUAAGUGAAUCAGUGAUGCCAAUCUUCCACAUGCAUCUCUCGUGUAAGGCGGGGAAAAGAGUGCCAAAAUACAGUUAUACAGUCCUCCAGAAUUCUUCAAGAACUGUGAUAAAUCAUUUCGUAGAAGCAGGUAGAGAUUUCUGGAAUUUGUCAUAAGAGACAACUAGAAUUUGACUGACUCAGGGCAACCACUUGUGUAAAUAUGCUGAGGUUUAGUAGUUCUCUUCUUGUUAUAUGCUGAUUUUUGUGAAAGAAUCCAUUUUACACAUUUUUGUUGGAUAUUUGGCUACUUGCAUUAGUUCAUUCAUAUUAUCUUCAACUGCAGAAUUAGUGGAUCUUUCUAUACUAGCUAACCAAGCUUUGAAUCGUAUAGAUCAGCCAGGAAAAUUGUACACUCCUGGCACAUCUUAAUUGAAUUUUCACUAAAGUUUUAAACUAAAAUGUAUUAACAAAACAUGACGUGAUCGUGCGCAUCACAUGCUGUCAUAUUAUAUACCCUUUUAUCGUAUUUACGUAAAAUUGUAAUAUGGAAAAAAAAAGGUUAAAAUUGUAAUAAGGAAAAGAAUAAAAUCACACCAUUGGGGGAUAUAAGCUUUUUGGACCGGAUGAAAUCCAAGCAAUCAUGAAGGCGCCUCCGUUCGAACUUCACAAAAUGUAGAAGCCCUUCCGAGAAAUACACCAACUUAAUCAGAGUCCCUACGGUCACCAAGAAAUCAUGUCAAAAAAAUUCAGAUAGGGGGAUUCCUAUUUGAGGCUGAUUACUAUGCGAAUCCACGCUAGGAUCGAAAAUUCAAAUACCAAAGCAUGCCAAGAAAUCAAUUGCAGCUACCUCCAAUGUCGAGCGCAAGGAGGGAUGAAUCCGGAGGCUGAUUGGGGAGGAAGAUAGGAGGAUUCCUCUCGUCGGGAUCGCCACGAAUCUCCGCGCCGCCGAGGUUGAGAUUCGCGGGACAUCCUGCCAUGAUCUCAGAGCUGGAAACAGAACAAUUUUUAGUUUGGUGGCAUUGGCGAUCAGCAGAUCGGAUCCGAAAUGGAGAGGAGCGGGCCAAACAACUACGGUGGGAGGUAGGGUUUCUGUAAUCAUCAUCAUCAUCAUAUUAAUAGGAAGCAGAUAAGAACCGAGAAGGUGCACCUACCAACAUCGUUGAAUUCAACAUGCACAGAAAAAUACAGUCGAUCGCUGCAAGCAUUGACCGACGGACACAACCCUUCUGAAUAAGGCAACCGUACGGUAGAAGACAGUUGUCAAAGAGUACAUCCCCUUGCAGCAAAUCGGAUAGCAGAAGUCUUGUUUUGGAUCCGAAUGAAACAUUUCUGGAAGCCAAUUAACGCAUGUGCGAUCAGACGCGCUUUGACGGCAAGUAAAUGCGGGGAAGAAAAGAAGAAUCAGACUGCAUCUAUCGCACAUCCCAUCAUGCGUUUCCCAAUGCAUUUAAAAUCAAAUAUGGUUCAAUGCAUAUAUAUAUAUAUAUAUAUAUAAAACCUGGAUAUUACAUUACAAAUGCUACCUCACUUAAUAUUAUCUAAAAUUACAAAAUAACCAAGAUGAACAUGAUUUAUAUAUUCUAUAAUAUAAAAUUUUAUUUAUUUAUUUUUUAAAACUUUUCUUUAUAUUUAUCUAUAAGGUUGAAAUUUUAUUUAUUGUAUAUCUAGGUCAUAUGAAUUUUUUUAAAGAUUACAUAUUUUUAUUUACUUAUUAAUUUAAAAUAAAAUAUAUGUAUUCACUCUUCAAUAAAUAUUUAAAAUAUUAGAAGGAUAAAUUUAUCAUAUAAUCUUUAAUAUAUUUUUUAAAAUAUAAUUUUGUCAAACAACAUUUACGUGAGUACAUACUUCAAAUAUAGUUUUCAUCUAUUAUUUACCAAUCACUCAAAGCACUUCACAAAAACACAUUCACUCAAGUCUUCUUAUCCAAAUGCAUAUUAAAAAUAUAAGCAUAUUUCUAAACAUACAUGUAUGUAUAUACAUAUAUACAUAUAUAUACAUAUACAUAUAUACAUAUACAUAUAUAUAUAUAUAUACUAAACACAUUUAAUGGUGGUUAACUAGGCUUUUCAGAGGGAUAUUAAGGGGAAAAUAUAUUAGUUUUUCUUGCAGGGGUAUAUGUGUCAGUGAAUUCAGGGAAAUACCAUACAUUUUGAGUUUUUCUUGGAUGGAACCUUUUUUAUUAUUAUUUUCUUCUCCUCAAACUCCUUUUUCUGUCUCUUCAGUUAAAAUUCCCCUCUUCUAAAAGCUCCAAUUCAUUAAAUCACUGGCUAUCCUUAAAUAUAUUAUAUUAAAAAUUUUAAGAAAAUAGUUAUUAAAUUUUGAGAAAAAUUCUUAUCCAUAUCAAAUAGUUAUAAUUGGUAAGUAAUUUUUAGAUAUUUUUAAUUGAAAACUAAGUUGCAUGGGAGGCAUUUUCUAUUAGUUGGAAUGAAUACACUGAAUCCAAUACCAAUAAUUCCAACAUUCCAACAUUAAUCACUAAAUCAAUUUUAUAUUUAUUUUUAUUUUACAUUAUAAUAAUAAUAAUACAAGCAUGAAAGAAACUAAAUCGAAGAUAUUAAAUAGUAAAAUUACAGGAUCUUCAUCACUUACCUUUAUAAAAAAGAAAAAACAACCAUCAUUGAAUGUAAAUGAUAGAAACUAUAUUUGUUAAGGCAGGAAGAAUAUAAAUGAAACUGUGACAGAGUAUUAUUGCAUGUAUAUUGAAUGAUAUAAACUGCGAUUAUGUUGGCGUCUAUGCGAAGCUCAAGAUAUGUUCAACUUAUCUUGUUUGCCACAGCCAUGCUCAUCACACAUUAUGAUGAGUGAACUCCAAUCCAUCAUGCAGGAGUUGUCAUGUUUUGAGAAACAAAAACAGAGUUGAAAGCUCCAUCUCAAUCUACCCAUACUCUUGACUUAAAUUCUUAGAAAGUGAACAACAUUGUUUCUAGGGUCAACUUAAAUGUUGGGACCAUUGAAAUAAAUGGGCAUGUUAGCUCUCUCUGGGGAGAAACUUGGUUGUCCUAAACACCUGUGUUAGAGUGCUGCUCUUUCCAUAUUCUUGACUUAGUUUCUGGGAGAAGUGACCAACAUUGUCUCAGCAAUUAAUUCAAGGUCAGCUUACAUGUUGGGAACAUUGACAUAAAUGAAUAUGGUAGCUAUUUGGGAAGAAACUUUAUAGUUUUAAACACUUCUCAUAUAAUUGAUUUGAUAGUUUCUGAGAGAAGUAAACAACAUUGUCUCUAACUAUCAAUUCAAGGUCAACUUACAUGUUGGGAACAUUGAUGUAAAUGGAAAUGCUAGCUAAUUAGGGAAGAAACUUGGGAGUCUUAAAAGACUUCUGCUGGCAGUCCCCAACAUGAGAGCCAAUUCCAUCAUUCAUAUCAUCACCAAGAUAGUGAGAGGCAACCCAAUCCCUUAGCAAACAACAAAUGAAAAUAGUAUAAUAUAAUAUUCAGCUGAGUGAUCUGAGGAACACAGCAGCUUCAUGUGGUUGAGCAAAUUAACAAGCCAUUAUCCGAGCUAAUUUAAUCCCAUGCCUUAACAUGGUUGAAAGAGACUUCAUUUAUCAUCAUGGUAAUUUUUAUAGAUCACAAUGACAAUUUUACGAAAUCAUUUAUGAUGAUGGAAAUUGAUUGUCAUACUAAACAUGCUCAUGCCUUGCUCGUCUGUCUUAACGCUACAAUGUAAGAGCUUUCUUCUCCAUGGCACUUAUAUUUUAUAUGCUAUAUAAGAUAAUAAUUAAAAAUAUAUGAACAUAUUUCUGCCAACUCAGUUAUGGAGACUGACAAGGUUUGAAUCUUUAUUCCACGUAUUCAAAAAGCAUAGCUAAUUUUGACCAGUAAGACCCUGCUGGAUCAUAAAGUUUUGGAAUCAAAACUUCAUCAUUUAUCUUAAAAAAAUAAAAAAACAUCUGUAUGAAUCUUAUCUUUAAAAAUGACUUAUUGUAAGCUCCAAAAUCUCUAAAAUUUCAAAUAAUACUGAUUAAACCUAACAAAGUAUUAAUUAUGUCAUGGGUGGGUGCCAUUUCCACUUGGUACAUGAGAACACAUUACAUGAGUCAUUGGUAAGAGGGUGGAGUAUCAAAAUACAAGUAGAAAAAAUGAUAGGAAAUGCUACAAUCGAAUCCACAACUUUGUAGUAGUUUCGGAAAUAAUAAGAAACAAAUGAAUAUUCAUAGCAAAAAGCAAGUUGGUUCAUAGUAUAUAUAUAUGCUCACAUGUCUCUCAAGCAUGAAUCACCAUUGACCCAGAAAUAGGAAUACAUUAGACCUUUUUACCAGUUGAGCUCAAAAUAUGCUUCUGCACAAACAUUUGUGAUCUGGUAUAUACAUUAAGGGAAUAUUUUUUUCUAAAUCAGCACUGAAGCAUUUGUGAAAAAUCCAGACUAUACUAACUUCUUGUUGUGUGCAUCCUUUUUCCAUCAACAGGUUGGUUGAAGUUAACAAUCAACCUUGUAGGUAUGCUCAUAAGCUCCACAAAAGAAUCCAUAUAACCAUUGCUUUGGUUGGAAUGGUAGAUCAUGUAAUCAAACAUGUAGUUCUGCUACAAAUAAGAAAUUAUGGGCAAUAAACUGCAAGCUGUCGAACAUGCCUGGAACAGUAGUCAAGAUGUGGGCAACAGCCUGCCAUUAUACAUCUUCUCUAGCAACUUUCGUGCCUCUGGUCGCCGAAGAAGCCCCUUGUUGUUGGGCAAGCCUGUGCCAAGACAAACUGGGCAGACCAGCUUUCCACGACCUGAACCAUCAUGUAUAGCAUUCUACUCAAUGAGUCUAAAUUUAAUAAAGUGGUCAAUCCUUUUAACAAUAAAAAAGGACAUGUUCCAAAGUUCAUGCAUGAGGUCGAUUUUCCAGAACAAAAUGAAGCUGACAAAUAAAUAAAUAAAUAAAUAAAUACAAGGGCAUCUUGUAGGUGAAGGAGAACCAUUGAGUCCAUUAGAAACUUCAAUUUUCAAUGAUGGCUAAAGGAGCAAAUGUUUAAUAAUAACAAAUGCACAUAACAAUUUAUGACCUAAACUAUAAACUUUUAGAAUUUAGAUAAAUGAGGAAUGCUAGCAGAAGUUCAUCACAAGUUUAUAGCUGCAUGCUGAAUCACAAGCUUCUUUUAUCGCUACCUCAUCAAAAUUCAAAAUAUAAGCAUAAAAUUUGUGCAGAUAAGAGUUAAGUGUGACAGGAUGAGUAAAACUACCAUAUAAAGCUUCAAAACCGAUUGAGAAUGGGUAAAGUCAACAAUAUAUAGAAACUUAAAUAGAAAUCUGAAGCAAGACCAUAGAAGAAUUUAACUUGUAUAUUUCUGUGUCAGUAGAACAUGAUACAAGUGAACAUUUUAUCUAUUAUGUAAAAGUGUUAAACAAUUAACAAAUCCAGAUAAGUAACAAGCCACACAUGUGGUCAGAUUUAAUAGUGAGAAACAUAAAAAAUUACAACACAGGAUUACUUUGUCAAUCUAAAUUAUAAAUGGUGCACCAUUCUUUACACUGUGGAUAUGUAUUGACUGUGUCCUGGUAAAACUCUAUAUGUGGACUAUGUGAAAAUCCUUUUGCUGGACUAAACCUACUCCUUGAUUCCAAACACUCUACCUCUGCAUGCCAAAGAGGUUUGCAAGUGUGGAUUUUGUACAUACUGAAUAGUUUGCAUAAGCUAUGACUGGACUUUUCCUUUUGUGUAAUCAUAUUUGUAUAGUUCCAUUCAUUGGCACCCAGCACAGUGAUCAUGGGAAGAGAGAUGAUUAAACUGACAGAGGAAUUUGACAGAUCAAAGAAAACUAAGUACUAUACAUCUUAAUGUAGCCAAAAACGAAGACACAAAUUGCCCAAAAACUUAAUGAAGCAUACUUAAAAAGACAUGCGGAAUAUAUGACAAAGGCUCAUAAAACUACAUACAAAAUUUAUUAUACAAAAUACCAAAGACACACCAUAACAAUUUGGGCACUCAGUAAACUCAUAUACAUCCUUUGCUCGCUUUCGGUUGAGUGCUUUCCAUUUUCCUGUGCCGCCACACAUGUCACCUAAGUCAAAGCAAGAGAAGAUAUUUAUCAGAAAAAGUCCUAUGGUAUCAGUCCUUGAAUAUUUCCAAAUGUUGUCAUUUACAUGUUGCAUUUUGAAUGGAAUGCACCAAUUUAAUAUCUCAUGUGUAUGGGUUCAUUCAAUGCGGAAAUAACUUGUGAGCAUGUGUUAUCAUAAACUGUAACCUCUUUGGCUCAAAUUGAAGAUUCAAUGCUAGAGUGGCUUAUCUCUUGCGAGACCACAAAUCAACAAGGGAAUAUGAAAUUUGUGAUCCAUCAUCUAGCUUCUUGUGAGCUUGUGAUUGCAACAGUUUGCUAUCCAUUUCACUGUGAGGGAAAUAGGGAAUCAUUUAAACUCUUCACAGACAAUCUGAUCAACUUGAAUUCAAAUUGAAGGUAAGGAUACCUAUCCUUGGAACAGAAGAUUCUGAACCAGUGCCUAUAUUCAGAAGUGGGAGAGAUUAAGAUUAUGUACAUAUGCUGUGGAAGCCCUUGCUCCUUAUACCAUCCAAGCAUGCCACAGUUAUCUUAUAAAUCACAAUUACCAGUUCCCGAUGCCAUGUUUAGAUUUUUCCUGCUUCAUACUACAAUUGAAUUCCUAUCAUUUGAAAUGACCUGUUUACACUAAUAUCACAUUUAAAAUGUAACUAGAAUAUCAACCAAUAAUAAGAUAAAAGGUUCAAACAACAUAUUUUAGAAAAGGUUGUUCCACAAUUAGGAGAAACAAAAGACAAAGCAUUAAGAGGAAAUUACAAAAAAACGCUAGAGAUAUGCAGCCCAAAGAAGCAAAUCCACUCGAACAUCAUCGGCUGUUGACAUGCAUAAUUUGUUAUCUGGAUGGAUCCCCCCUACAAUAUAAACUAUUAAGUUGCUACAUUGAUUAGUACUCUUAAGAAUGUGAGGAACCCUCUCUCUCCUUCAAAGUACAUAUUUGGCAAUAACCGAUCUCCACACAGGAAACAAAAUUAACUUCAUUAAGAAAACUACAUUAGCUGAAUAAUAGUGUGUGACAAGGUUGUAUGACCAAACUAUAGCUAAUAUGAGUUCUUAUGUGACUUCAACAAUCAUCAGGUAUUGAAAAUCCAACUAAAUUUCAAAAAGGAAGUAACAUGAUUUAUAUCCAGACUUAAUCCAAGUUUGUUUAAUCCUAAACCUCACAUGGCUCAACUUGAAAUACCAGUGGACUAAUUCUGGCACUAAGUCAACUCAAGCUAAAUCUUAUGUUGCAUAAACUCAUAUCUAAGACAGCAUUGUAAGUGUCUUGCACUUAAAAAGAAUAAAAACAAUAACUUAUAAAAGCAGACAUUGUUUGUGCAACAAUUUACGAAGUCUAUGGAAAAAGUAACACGACUUUUUAACUGAAAAUUUAUGUAUUCAAGUUUUCAUAGAAAAUAUUAGGUUCCAUUUUUGUCUCGGGUAUGGAAUCCGACAUACAGGAGAGAAAUCCAGCGUUUGACAUUUUCCUUUGGAGAGGGAAAAGGUACAGAAGGAGGAGCAUAUUGAAGGCAAAGGAAGUGUGUGGGAGGGAAGCAAAAAGAAAAAAAGAAAAAUACAACUAUCAAAAGCUCUUAAACAAGAAGAACAAUAAGAUUAUAGGAAUACUAUGUGGUUAAGCCCUGAUAACCCUGGAUUUAACCAUUUAAACCGAGCAGCAUGACAAUAUGGUAAUUGUAGCCAAUAGUAAGGGACCAGGCAUGUACAGGAACCUGAUUGGAAAUGUAAAUACAAGUUGAUACAUACUGGUCUACUGAUUUUUUUAAUCCUUACUUUAACAUGAGGUUUGAUUAGCUACAUCAACUGACAUUAAAGUUACAUCUUAUUGUCAGUUUUAUUAUGGGCCAAUUUGUCUACUUGAGUUCAGUUAUAGGGCUGGUCAGAUUUGGUUGGAGUCUUUAGCGGAUCAUGUUUUGUUUACUAAAGUUGAGUCAGGGUCUAUGUUCUAAAUGCUUCUAUUAAGAAAUUCAUAACCGUCUGGACGUCUGUCUCCAUUUUCAGUACCUAAACAGUCCUAUUAGUAUAAAACUCCAGUUAAAUUACAUGAUGGGGUAUUUUAGGGAGAUCUUAACUGUAAGAUGACUUUAGUUUAGUCAAGUGUAAAAAUUGUAAGCUGUAUUACUAUUACAACAGAAGGGGUUCUUUUACUGACACAUCACAGACCUUCCUUUCAUGCUAGUUAUGUUUUCUAUGCUUCAAUCUCUCCAUCACAAUAUGCAACACCUCAUUCUGCUAAAAGUUAUCCUACAGGAGAUCUUUUAUAAUUAAACAGCAGAAAUGAUGUUUCUAUAAAGACCUGACCUUAUACAGCUUUCUUGAUAUAUCAAAAGAAAACAUAAUGUGUAUCAAUACAAUUCUUACUGGACAGCUUUCUGCUGGUCAGACCUAACCACAAAACCAAUCUUAGUGUCAUUGG
rnacentral:lncRNA from 1 species